GGCCCAAAUUUGAAGUAGAGUAGAUCAGUAGUAGCAGCUGACCCUUCUAAUCUAACCUACUUUGAAUUUGGGCCC
rfam:Haemonchus contortus, ISE/inbred ISE, WGS project CAVP01000000 data, contig: Hcontortus_45746